rnacentral:rRNA from 1 species
GGGUCAUUAGGUUGGUCGUGCCACCGGUACGUACUGGUCUCACUGAUUCCUCCUUCCUGAAGAACCGUAAUGCCAUUAAUUUGGUGUUGCGGGGAAACAGGACUGUUACUUUGAAAAAAUUAGAGUGUUUAAAGCAAGCUAACGCUCGAAUACAUUAGCAUGGAAUAAUGAAAUAGGACGAUCGAUCCUAUUUUGUUGGUUUCUAGGAUUGACGUA